UCAAGACAUAUGAGUCUUUUGGUUGUGUUUCAGCACAUUUCCCAAGUUUUCCAGGUUACGCAAAAAUUUUUAUUGUUUCAUUUUCUCCAUCUUUACUUCAAAGUCAGCAGUUACUAUAUUAAGAGAAUUAUCAGGUGUUUGCCUAGAGCAUCCAAACAAUGGAAGUUGGGAAGCUAUAGGAAAGAAAACAAAACAGAAACAAAAACAAAAAAAAGAGCGAGAGAGAGAAAAAAGGAAAAAAACUCUCGCUGCAAUCCGGUCACUUAUUUCAGUGAGAAACUCUACAAGCUGGUACUCCCAUUUCUACUAGUCAAGCAAUCAAUCAUAUGUCAGUAACUUGGCUGCUGCCCGUACUUGCCCUUAGUUUUUUACUAGCAAAAUCUAUGUGCUGGAUCUUGACAGAAACCAACCAUAAGAGACUAAAAAUAAUUUCCUCUUAGUGAGUUUUGACGCUAAUUAUUGUUACUAUCCGUUGUUUUGUUUAAUACAGGAAAUGUUAAGUAAGUUAAUAGCAGUAGCAUUUUUAAUGUAUGAUUAAAACUGGGAUUAAUAUCUUUAGAAGAAUGUUUGUAUGCUGCUGUAAAUAAUUUUCUAAAAACAUCCCAGUACGUACUGUUUUUGUUCUGUUGUUUUUAAAUGCGAUAUAGGACCUCACUGAAGUGUUAGCAGCCUUUUAAAAAUACAUUUUUUUCUCUUCAAACCUGGGAAUCAGAACCAAAAACCAUAUGAAAACAUGAAUCCAUUUCAUAGCUUACUGUGUACGGCUACUCUGAAAAAGCAGUAGCUGUAUUUGUCAGGCUAAGAUUCUGCUUGGCCUGGUGCGCUGUCUCAGAUAGUGGAGCUAGUGAAUGUGUAGGGUAGGUAACAGGUCAAGUAUGUGGUAAUGUCCCUUUAGAACUCUCUUUUGAAUGUCUAGAACAGACGUUUGAAUUUUCCAUCUCGUGCAUCAAUGUUUAUGCCAAACUGUAUAAAAAUAUUUCGGUUUCUCUUUUGCGCAAGCAGUUCUUAAAUAGGACAGUGUGCUUGACUGACUUAGCAUGAUUUCUCAUGUGAAUUUUGAAAACUUCGGCCUGCUCUAUUCCUAGCAAUACAAAGUUUCUGGGAUUCCAUUCCUAUUGGAAAUGAGCGAUUUCUACUCUGAUUCAUGUGAUAUUUCUUCACCUGCUAUAUUGCUUAAAAUUCCAUAAUCUUUUUCUAGAAUCAUUAAGGUUGGAAAAGACCUCUGAGAUCAUCUAGUCCAACUGUACACCUACCACCACAAUUGAGGCUAUUUAUUACUUUUGUUAAGUACCCGUUUUCUGCUACCUUGUUGGUUUAGAAUGAACUCUUUUAGAAAUUCCCGCUUUUCCAACAGUUUCUGCACUAUUCCUCUUCCCGCAGUUUGGUUUUUCAGGCAUGUAUUGAAACUUUGCCUCAGCAUCUGAUUUUGGGAGCGUUUUAAAGCAGGCUGCUAUCCAGGGCUCAUGUUUAUCUUACCCUGUGUUUUAUUCCAGGUCUUUUCUUCUGCCCUGGUGACGCCCUUGUGUCACCGGUAGCUACGUGGCCUGUCACCGUCUCCCCAGAAUUGUUAAAGAGACCGCCGAGACUUGUUUUGAGGAUGGCUGCUUCUGUAGCUGUCAUUUGAGUUGCAGUGCAGUCCUCUUUAACUGCAGCCUCCUUUCUGACUCACCCUUAAUUACUGCUCUGUGAUUUUCCUCUGAACUCAGUUACUGUUUCGGAGAGUGUCGAUAUCCUUGCUGAAGAAAGAUGGUGUAUUACAGUAUUUACUCCUUUAUAGAACUGCUCUUCUAUUGACUUUACACUUGAUUAAGUUUACGUGUUAUAUGUGAUUUGCAUGUUCUCUGUUUUAGUUGAUCUCUGGAGCACAUUGCAGGCCUCGCAUGUUAAUUACUUAGUAUCUCUUCCCUGCUUUAGGAGGAAGGUAGUGGUCCAGUUGUGUUUUUUUUUUUUCCCAGCUCAAUCAGUGGACCCUUACUUCCACUUCUCUCUUCAGAAAUAUGAUUGUAACUUAGAACUUGCUAUAGCGAGCUGUCUCUGGCUUUUCCUGUUUUGUAGGCACAUAUUGCAAUGGAUUAUCAUCAGUAAAAGCUUCUAACGGGACAUGUACUCUUUAUGAUGGUGUUUUUGUUUUUUUACUAUUGCAGCUUGUAAGUAGGAGCUGUAAGGAGGAAAAGCUUUUGCUGAGUGCAAUGCCCGUGUCUGAGAUCCCAUGAAGCGAGCUCAUUUCAGCCUCCUGAGGGCAGUCUAUCCUCACGUAUUAUUACAUUGGACCUUGGUUCAUGUAUCUAUAUAGUUCUGGGGAAGAGCAGUAGCCUGUGUAGCUGCAAAGCUGAUACUGGCAUCACUGUUACCAAUUGUGUAAAAUCCAUAUCCUGGACUGUUCAGGGAUGUAAGGCAUGAUUUUGAAGAAUCGAUUUCAAUUUAUUGAAAUUGAAUUAUUCCAAUGUUGAGUCCAGUGAACUUUUGAUAAGAAGUGGAUAUUUAAAUCCCCUCUUUCAAGGCAUCCUUGCUACAUUGUUAUGUCCAGUUAAAACACAUGUUGCAAAGAUCUUCUGUUGCUGUUGAUCUGUUUUCCUCUUUUGAUGUGUUGCAUAGUCUGAGAGCUUGUAUUGCAUGAAACUGAGAUGUACAUUGUUUAUUUUUUGGUUUGGUUUGUUUUUUUUUUGAGGUAUAAUGUAGUGCAUUUAAGUAAAGCUGAUGAAAACGGAACUUUUCAAUACUGGCUGCAGCACAGGUAAUGAAUCGGUGUUUGAAAAGACGGGGCAGAUGUAGUGGGAGAGAGAAGUCUUUGGCUGUGCUUAUUGCCUGAAGUCAGAACUCUGCUAAAACCCCACAGUACCUUGUAUUUUCAUCACAUUAUGCUCAGCUUCAGACCGUGGGUUCACUGAAGGCUCCCUUUUGCUGUAGAUGGUAACUGAGUUAGUAACAGAGGUUACCUGUGCUUGGACUGACAUCUUUAGGUGAGCAUGACUGUGACUACAACUACUAUUCUAGUAUUUUAUGCUAAUAUUUUUCCUGUUAACAAGUCAUAUCUUUUAAGGCCUGGGAUAUUUCUUGUUCAUUUCAUAGAACAGAUUACAACAUCGAAAGUGACAAGUCUGUUUUUUUUCCCACUCUUUUUAAAAAUUCAUAAGAUGAAAUGCUGAGAUUUUUUUUCUUUCCUUAGUGUACUUUACCACUAUAGUCUCAUAUAGUCUGAUAUUCUGCAAUAAAAACUAGUAUUCCUGUCUUAGCAAACUCUUACUUGGUAUCAUUGCAUCCAAAUCAGGAGCUUUAGGCACUGCAUGCCAGUAACUCCCAUGCUCAACUUCUCAUUUUGAUAAAAGUCAGCCCUUUAAGAAAUAGCCAGUGUAGUUUUUGACAUGCUUUCAGGGAUCACAGUUCUUCUUUGUGUUUUUUUUUGUUAAUACUUUGUUAUAACUUUUCAUCUUCUUACUAGCAUACUAGAUAACGCAGUUGAAUUUCUCAUUUUCUAAAUCCUCUCGCUACAAAGAAGUGAUAACUAUUGGUCUUGCCGUAUUGCUAAGAUAGCAAUCAACAAGAAUUGAAAUUUUGGUGAUCACAAAACAUGUCUAACUGAUAUCCAUUGUACAGUGAGUUUAUGAGUGAGUGAGACCACAUUUCGGAAGAGAAAGAAUAGACCAAUUAGAGGGAAAAUCCAGAUAAUUAGAAAUGUUUGAAUUCAUCUUUGUGCUUGUAUAGUGAGAGUAAUGGGAAUGAAAUUGUGUUGGGCAGGUGACACAGAGUGAAUGCCCCUCUGAGCAAAUGGAAUGCAGUUCUGCUGAAAGCUUCCUGCAGUCCUAGAGAAAGAAAACAAUAGAGUCAUUGCAUGUGUUUUAUACAGAUGCCAAGUAGUCUAUAUGCAUGAUUUUUGGCCAUGAGAUGGCUCUGCCAGCAGUAGACUGGAGAUGCAUGUUACUGCCGCUCUGGUUGGAAGGGCAUAUUGAAUGGAGACCCCCUGUAGUUUUGUAGUUCCCUGUGAGUUUUGGGGGGCACUAGAAUGGAGAUCAUGCUAAGCCUGCUAUGAAGUGGAGCUCUGUUCAGUCGAUUGCUAAAUAUUAGUUAUUAAUGUACUGCAGCUGUCUGCAAAUCUUAUCACUAUGUUUUCUGUAAAACCUUUGUUUCUGUUAGCACCACAGUGCAUUCUUCCUAAUAACCACGGCUGCACCGUCUGGCUUCCAGUAAUGCUUAUCACAUGCCUGUACCUCUCAUGGAUUAAUUAAGGUGGUGUCCUUCCAUUUGAGUGAGAACCACACGUUCUAGAUGAUUGGCAUACAGCGAGUUUUAUUCAAAAGAAGUGGCUUAUUCAGUAGUAUUUAGCUGAAGCUGUCCAGGAAGAGCUGUUUGCAUUGCAAAAGCAAUAAGCUUAGUUUUCACCUUAAAAGGAUGUUGCAUUUGAGCUCCCCUUACUGUGUUAUCCUUCGUUAGCAGGAACUGCAUUUCUGCUAUAGUAACUGCUGAGCAAUGCUCUGCUACGUCAGCUUUCUCUGACUUCCAAAUCGAGCUUAACGCCACCUACAGGAGUUUGGUUUUGAAUUCUGACUUGACAUCAUCUGAACUCUGAAGCAAGAGCACUGGAAAGGCACUGAUCAACAUAUUUUUUCCACUUACGCUUCUGCAUUCUUGUUUCGUCUUAGAUUUGGAUGCUGCUCGCCCUGGACAAAGUCGGAUAACCGACGUGUUUGUCCUUGGAACUAGAGGUUAGGAACACUGUAACAACCUGCCUUCACUCUUAAAAUGCACAGGCUGACCAGAAAUUCAUUGUUCCAGAAUGAAGACUACUUCCUUUUCUUGUACCUGUUCUUAUAAAUUGCCUUUUUGUAUAUAUAUAACUAACUUCAGCAGUUGUUCAGGCAAAUACUGCAGGUUAAAACAAACCCACAAAAUCACCACCAAAAUCCACUAGUUCUACUGGAGCAGAGACGUGACGUGGUGCCUGUUGCAUGGGAAGCCUAAUCUUAGUAGCUGUUUCUGGGCCAUUUGUGCUACUACAGAACUGGAACGUGACAGCAACUGCAAGACUUGGCUCUCCUGCAGGGUUUACCUAUUUGCACUACAGUUUUAUUACAAAUGAAGAAUUUGUCCUUCCAAGUGUUGCUGCAUUCAUCCUCCUCCUCAAGAGCUGCUGAAAGGAUUGU